AUAAAUCCUAAAACAAACUAUGAAUUUAUAUAUAGAAAAUCCUAACUUGAAUAUUAAGCAAAUAAUAAAUAAGGAAACACAAACUCAUUCCUAGAAUAACUAAUAUUCCUAAUCGGUGUUGGUAUCCCAGCAUGUUCAUUCUCCCUGAUAUCUCUUCUUCAGAUUUGACGUUAGCUACAACUCUUCUUCUCUGCACCCCUAAAAACUGCGUCAUGAUUCUGCUGACUGAAGACGCCUGUUGUAUGAGGUAUUCAUUGUCUAUUGAUUGUUGUUGCUCAUGCCGUAUUUUUGAUUCUUAAUAGGUAACUCCGUCUGAUGUUACUGAGAGGGCUUGGGAGUGAGUUGUUGGUGUUGUAGAAGCAGCAAGGCUUAGAAAGCAGCAAGUAGUCGAGUCCGAACAUUUUUAUGAAAGCGCUUCUGGAGCAAAAAGAUGGAUUGGACGGUGUUAAAAUUUCACCGAUUUAACAAGCCACAGAUGAAUUCAUUAAUCAAGAACCAGAGAUAUGGUGCUUCUCCGCCUGAGGAGAUCGACUGGUAUCCUGGCAGACGCAUAUCAACCGAUGAUUUAUGGAUACAAUCAUACAAGGGAAAAGACGGAUGUCUUGCUGCAAGAAAUAGUUUGAGAGGGUUCAUGAAAUCUUUCCUGGAGUGCAGAAGUUAACUCUGCAAAGUACAAGAUCAAUAUUAUGAUGCAAAGAAAAUUCGGGAAGCAAAGUUGAAUCAGAAGGAAAAGAAGAAACAAGGCACACAUGUUAAAACCUCAGAAUCCUUUACCUAUAAGUGCUUUUUAGGAUGUGGAUGGACUAGAGAAUGAGUUUAUUCAGCUAGACAUAUAAUCCAAUACAAUUGGCUGCGGACUACUUCGCUUCUUAUGUUUGAAGUCGUUCGGGAUGAUCUUUAAGUAAUCAACUAUCUUAAUGAACUCCAGCCAGAUACAUAGAAGAAGCUUCAAGCGGCACUUUUCGCGGUUCUCAGGGACAAAAAAACAGUAUGGAUGGAUCCAAUAAAAAGGCUCUGUGUGUUGUUUGGAUUAUACCUUCUCUGGCAACUUACGACAGGCACUAUUCAAAAAUAUCUCCCAAGGAAAAUACCGAAUUGGAUCCCAAAUUGACGGGUUAGUGUGAGCUUAUCUGAUUGCGAAAUCUUUUAAUUUUUUUCAAGAUCAAAUAAUCAAGAAAUUAUAAUUGUAUUUGCUGUCUUAGCUCAAAUGGCAGAGCACGUGGUCUCUUCCACAUGUAGUUGUGGGUUCAACUCCCACGGAUAGCAUAGUUAUUUAAGCAAGCAAAAUUUAGAUGCAUUCUGAUGCCAGUAUAUAUAUAUUGGAGCAUAAGCGUACAGGUAGAAGAGCUUUUAUCUCUAUAUUGUUUUCUCAGCACUAAAGCAUAGAGUUAGUGAAAUAUAACAAUUGUUUUCUCUACAUUGUUUUCAAGCUUCAACAUCAGUAAGAGUAUGGAGGAAGCUAAUAGCGAUUGUGAUGCUAAUAAUUCAAGGUAAUAAAAUCAACUAAGACAACCUACUCGAUCCUGAUUGGAAGUUGAAUGGUAUCCAUAAUUUAUGCAGUACGCAUGUAUUCACAUUUCUACUGCCAACUUGGAUAAACAAAACUUCCAAGUAUUUGAUUAUCAUUGACACCAUCUUUGUGUUCGGACCCAAAUAUAGCGUGGAUGUAAUAUUUGUAAUUUUUAUGUGAUACUUUGUUUAUACAUAAAUGUGAGCCACACCAAAUAAAAAAUUCAUGACAUGCCAAUUUUGUUAAAAGAAAAAAGUGGCUUAAUGUAUCGGGAUCAAACCGGAAUGGGGCGAGGCGAAACCGAGCUUUACCAAAUAAAAUGGGGAUUGGGCGAGGCGAAGUCGAGCUUUACCAAAUCAAAUCGGGACGGGUAGAGGCGAAGUCGAAGCAGUGCUUUACCAAAUCAUAUCGGGAUGGGGCGAGUCGAAGCCCCAAAUCAAAUGGGGACUGGGCGAGGCGAAGCCGAGCUUUACCAAAUCGGAACGGGGCGAGGCGAAGCCGAAGAAGAGCUUUACCAAAUCAUAUCAGGACUGGGCGAGGCGAAGCCGAGCUUUACUAAAUCAAAUCGG